GACGAACGCUGGCGGCGUGCUUAACACAUGCAAGUCGAACGAUGAAGCCGGAGCUUGCUCUGGUGAAUUAGUGGCGAACGGGUGAGUAACACGUGAGUAACCUGCCCUUGACUCUGGGAUAACUGCUAGAAAUGGUAGCUAAUACCGGAUACGACCCUCGGAGGCAUCUCCAGGGGGUGGAAAGAAUUUCGGUCAAGGAUGGACUCGCGGCCUAUCAGCUAGUUGGUGAGGUAACGGCUCACCAAGGCGACGACGGGUAGCCGGCCUGAGAGGGGGACCGGCCACACUGGGACUGGGACACGGCCCAGGCUCCUACGGGGGGCAGCAGUGGGGAAUAUUGCACAAUGGGCGCAAGCCUGAUGCAGCAACGCCGCGUGAGGGAUGACGGCCUUCGGGUUGUAAACCUCUUUUAGUAGGGAAGAAGCGAAAGUGACGGUACCUGCAGAAAAAGCACCGGCUAACUACGUGCCAGCAGCCGCCGUAA
rnacentral:rRNA from 1 species